AUUGAACGCUGGCGGCAGGCCUAACACAUGCAAGUCGAGCGAGCGGCGGACGGGUGUGUAAUGUAUGGGGACUGCCCGUUAGAGGGGGAUAACUACUGGUAACGGUAGCUAAUACCGCAUACUAUCGGAUGACCCAUAUGGGAUUAGCUAGUAGGUGAGGUAAUGGCUCACCUAGGAGACGAUCCCUAGCUGGUCUGAGAGGAUGAUCAGCCACACUGGAACUGAGACACGGCCCAGACUCCUACGGAGGCAGCAGUGUUGACUCUUGCACAAUGGACGCAAGCCUGAUGCAGCCAUGCCGCGUGUAUGAAGAAGGCCCUAGGAUUGUAAAGUACUUUCAGUCGGGAGGCGUUACCGACAGAAGAAGCACCGGCUAACUCCGUGCCAGCAGCCGCGGUAAUUC
rnacentral:rRNA from 1 species